rnacentral:rRNA from 1 species
GCUUGGGAAUAUGCCUUUAGGUGGGGGACAACAGUUGGAAACGACUGCUAAUACCGCAUAAUGUCUACGGACCAAAGUGGGGGACCUUCGGGCCUCACGCCUAAAGAUUAGCCCAAGUGGGAUUAGCUAGUUGGUUGAGGUAAAGGCUCACCAAGGCAACGAUCCCUAGCUGGUUUGAGAGGAUGAUCAGCCACACUGGAACUGAGACACGGUCCAGACUCCUACGGGGAGGCGCAGGUGGGAAUAUGCACAAGUGGGCGCAAGCCUGAUGCAGCCAUGCCGCGUGUGUGAAGAACGGCC